GUGAUGGAUAAGGGGGCCCCUCAACUCGCUUUUAUCCGCAGACGGAUGUCAGGACCGCGUGCCCACCCCGCCGGGCUUUCAUUUUCCCUCCUGCUUUCCCCGCGCCUUUAAUCAAGGCCUCGAAGGAUAACAACAGGACCUACCUCAUAGACGAAGAAGAGUCGAUAUGGGGAAAGAGCUUGGAAUAGCACCUGGCCUAGUGUACGGGACCAUCUUGAACUUCUUCGUGUCUGGAUGCUAAUGAGGGAGAAGAGGGUCACAGGAAAAAAGGGAAAUGAAUGAAAAGAAAGAGGGGCCUGAACUGGAAAGGGAAGCAGAGACCCUCCCUGAAGUCACCUGAGGCCCUGGGAAGAGCCUGAGUAACAGAGACAUCACAAGAGAAAUGGAAUCUGAGUAGUCUUAGGAAAUCAAAGCUAAAUGACCAUUCCUUAAGAUUCGUACUUGGAAAUUAUCUUUCUCCAUAGAGGAGGAGAGUGGAGAGAAAGGAAAGCUGCCAGCGAGCUCUGGCGUGUGCGAGUGGUCGGAAGAUUGUAUCUGCAUUAACUGGUCCAAGAAUUGACUGUGAUUUCAAAGCCUACAAAAACGCUUUUGGAAAGCCUCUGUUCACUCCCGGGAUGCCUCAGAGCCAGAAUCAGGGGUGAGACAAGGAGCCCAGAGCUCACCUGGGGCCCACCCUGCACUCACACAACCCUGAGAGCAAGUGUGUCCUUAAGUGUGCACUCUGGCCAUCUGUUCGAGCCUCACUCAGGGUCUCAGCCCCAAGAUGUCUCUCUGGGGAAAGUACCUUCACCUGCCUUUCUUGGUGCUCUUUUCCUGACCAUCUGAGUACCUUGCACUUCUCUAACUCACAUUUCCGUAGACAACAC